ACCCAUGAAACACCAACCCUCAUUUUAUACCCGAUCUGGGAACUGCAUUUGAUGGAGCCCACCAGAAAUGAUGUUGGCCCCACCAGCUGAACCAUGUCCGAGUCUUCUUCACCUCCAUUCCCCUGGUUCGACUUCUCCUCCCUCAGCGAAUCCCCUGCCCUUCCCAGGAGCUUGGCCUUCCGUCCUUGCGCCGCCCAUUCCACCUUGAAGAUCUUUCUUCGUGUCCUUUCUUGCUUUUUAGAUGGGAUUCGAAUCUGAUUGCAUUGUUUUGGUAUUCUAUAGUUUCAAAGAUCUCAUUUUGUUGAUGUCUUAGAUCGCCCUUGUCGAUCUGCUCAACAUAAACUAUUCAGAAGAGAAUGGGAUUUGAAACUGAUGCAACCUUCGUACUGUGUAAUGCAUAACUCUCACUGGUCUGCUGUCAAGCAACAAUCUUGGAUAGUGAUUCUUGUGUUUUGUCCAUAUCUCAACUGAUUAGCAAUGUUCUAAUUUUCCUUCUAUGGUUAAAGUUCUUCUUUAUGUUCCACAGUUGUUUCCCAAAUUCCAAUAGAUAACCAUAUUCGACCAGCAUAUUUGUGUAGAGAUCAAUGAUGGAAUAGGUUAAGCAAGCAAUGUGGAUUAACCUAAUUGUGAAACUGGUUAUCUGAUCUAGUUGUUGGUCAAAUUUCUACUAUUGUAACUAUUUCCCUGUCCUGAUUGGAAGAAGUAUGUGAACCAAAUUUUCUAUAACUGCUUUGAUUAAUCGACUUCCCUUUUCUGAACUUUAAAUGUGAUAUGAGCAUGAUGUUGAUAUUUUAAAAGGAAUUGAUUUUGAGGUUGAUCAGGGUCCAUUUUGAUGCUUUCCAUUUGCAGGGAUGACUGCUUUUCAGUGACCAUCUGAUUGACUGCUACAUGUAGAGUUUGAGAACUUGAAUACAGAGAUUGUAGGUGUGCUACUAUGCUAUUGCUAGGUCUUUGAUGGCCAACCAAAAUGCUUUGCUGCACAAGAUCCAAGACCGCAAAAGACAGCAACAUCAAAAUGAGGACUAAAUGCUUUGGUUUGCUUUGCUCCCGCUGUUCCCCUCAAAAUAAGAGCACCACCUCAUCCAAAAGCAAAGCAUGCUGUUAGACCAAGCUUUUUUGACUGGGAACCAGAACAGGGAUGAGACUGACUACCUUUGAAAGAAAGGCAAGUUAUGGAUUUUUAACUAGGAAUGUUUUCAAAAACCAUACCAAAUCGAAAUUUUCCAAGAGGUUU